GGAGGAGGUAAGCGUUGUUCGGAUUUACUGGGCGUAAAGGGCGUGUAGGCGGCUUCGCAAGUCGGACGUGAAAUCCCAGGGCUCAACCUUGGAAUUGCGCUCGAUACUGCGAGGCUGGAGUGUGGAAGGGGAGAGUGGAAUUCCCGGUGUAAGGGUGAAAUCUGUAGAUAUCGGGAGGAACACCAGUGGCGAAGGCGACUCUCUGGUCUGCUACUGACGCUGAUACGCGAAAGCUGGGGGAGCGAACGGGGAUUAGAUACCCCGGUAGUCCCAGCCGUAAACGAUGUGCACUUGGUGUAGGUGGUUUUUCCCGCCUGUGCCGGAGCUAACGCAUUAAGUGCACCGCCUGGGGAGUACGGCCGCAGGCUG
rnacentral:rRNA from 1 species